rnacentral:misc_RNA from 1 species
CGUAGGUGAACCUGCGGAAGGAUCAUUAUUGUAUAACCGAGGUGCGUGGGCUGUCGCUGACCCGAAAGGUCGUGCACGCCCGAGUGCCCUCACACACAUCCAUCUCACCCCUAUGUGCACCACCGCGUGGGUCCCCCUUUGGCUUGUUCGGAGGGGGGCUUACGUUUUCACACAAACUUUGUAUGCAGUGUAGAAUGUAUUUUUUGUUUUUGCGAUCACGCAAUCAAUACAACUUUCAACAACGGAUCUCUUGGCUCUC